ACACGGAGACUCCAAAGAGCUGAAAAACUCCUUGCGAAGCUAUUGAAGAGAUUUAAUAGAAGGUGCUAAUCGAUUCUCUCCUUCAAAGAUCACAAUCCGGUAAGCUCAUCUUCGAUUCUUCUUCCUUUUCUUUGUUCUGUCCAGAUUUUUUUUUCUCUUUUCUGUCCAUCUUCGAUCUCUUUGUUCUUCGAUUCUUCCACUUCUUUCAUUUUUUUUCCAGAUUUUUUUUUUCUGUUUCUCCGCAGCAAACGAAGAUCGAAGACAUCAUUUUUCAAUUUUUUUUUCCAGAUUUCUGUUUCCUCUUUUUUUCAUUCUUUUUUCUCCAGAUUUUUGUACUCCUUGGCAGCAACCGACCCCCUCCGCUCCAAUGACGACUCCUCUUCUCGUUAGUCAAACACACCUGGAGCUAUUGAACCUUUGCCUGAUGACCUUGUAUCUUCAGAGUGCAUGAAGGACUGCGUCAUGUAAAUGAAAAAGCAUAUACACCUAUGCUAGUUUCUAUAGGGCCUUACCACCACGGUCACCCUAAACUACUUCCUAUGGAAAAACAUAAAUAGCGUUAUUUGGAACUGCUUCUUCAACGUAACAAUCAGAGAAAGGAGGAGUACUUAGAUUCCAUGAAGAAGUUAGAAGAAAGAGCUCGCAAGUAUUAUGCGAAUCCCAUUGACCACCUCAACAGUGAUGAGUUCGUGAAAAUGAUGUUAAAUGAUGCUUGCUUUGUUAUUGAGUUUCUUGUUGGUAUUCAUGAGUAUUUUCUUGUUAAGCAUCAACAUCAACUAUGACAACAAGGACAAUGAUUACAAGGUGUGAGUGAUAACACUAUUGUCAAAGUAUCAUGGAUAAGAAUGCACAUUUGUCAUGACUUGAUGCUGCUUGAAAACCAACUUCCAUUCUUUCUUCUAUCUGAAUUUUAUAGCAUGAGUUGUAGGAGGACUGAAAAUCCAAACUAGAAGCAUCCCACCCUCAUUGAGCUUGCUAAGUAUCCUAUCAAUCGGAUGCUACCAGGAAGAGACAAAAUCCAAUUUGAAAAUCAACAUUUCAAUGAAAGCAAGCAUUUUCUUGACUUGGUACAUAAUGUUUGUCAUCCUUGUCUCACAAUCAAUGCAGAGCACUCCUCCACCAGGGCCCAUAAGGAAACUUGCCCUAAAAUGCCCUGUGUGAUAGAGCUUGAGGAGGCUGGUGUCACGUUCGAGGAGCAUAAGGAGGUCAGCAUGUUCGAUAUAGUCUUCGAACAUGGUCAUUUUAAAAUACCAAAGUUUGAGGUUUGUGAUUCGACAGAAAUAUUCUUCCGUAACAUCAUUGCCUACGAGCAACAUUCCUCAGAUGACGAACCCAAAUAUUUCACCGAUUAUACAUUCUUCAUGGAUUAUCAAAUCCAAAGAAGAAGUGAACAAACUUCGUCGCAAUAAAGUUAUUGACAACAUGCUUGGUGAUGACGAGGUGGCGCUUAUGUUCAAAAACUUGGGCAAAGGAAAAAUCAUUUUGCAGCAUUUCUAUUACGCUGAACUAUGCAGCAAAGUGAAUGCUCAUUGCGAGACAUGGUGGCACAGAGGAGUAGCGACAUUGAAGCGUGAUUACUUCAAAAAUAUGUGGGUUACUGUUGCCACUUUUGCAGCUGCUUUUCUCCUCCUCCUCACUCUCACACAGACUGUCAUUUCCGUAAUUACUAUGCUUUCUUCGUUGUCCCCACGUUGAUGUUAUUCAAAAACUCUACAAGAACAGCAUUUAUGUUUCAGAUUUUAUUCGUAUCUAUAAUUGUGAAUAUGUUUUUUUAAUAUCAGUACACUUUGUAUACAAAA